AACGAACGCUGGCGGCAGGCCUAACGCAUGCAAGUCGAACGCUCCGCAAGGGGAGUGGCAGACGGGUGAGUAACACGUAGGAAUCUUCCUGUUGGUGCGGAAUAGCUCAGGGAAACUUGGGGUAAUACCGCAUAAGCCCGAGAGGGGAAAGAUUUAUCGCCGACAGAUGAGCCCGCGUCUGAUUAGCUAGUUGGUGAGAGUAACUGCUCACCAAGGCGACGAUCAGUAGCUAGUCUGAGAGGAUGACCAGCCACACUGGGACUGAGACACGGCCCAGACUCCUACGGGAGGCAGCAGUGGGGACUAUUUGACAAGGGGCGCAAGCCUGAUCCAGCCAUGCCGCGGGAGUGACGAAGGUCUUCGGAUUGUAAAGCUCUUUUGGCGGGGACGAUAAUUACGUUACCCGCAGAAUAAGCCCCGGCUAACUUCGUGCCAGCCGCCGCCGUAAAAC
rnacentral:rRNA from 1 species